CGCAGCACCGCACCCCCCUCCUAGCUUGGGGAUGGGGCCAACGUGUCAUAGACUGGCCUCCCGUGCGCCCCGUUGCACGGAUGGCCCAAAUGCAAUCCCUCGGCGAUGCACGCCACGACAAUCGGUGGUUGAUCAGUCGACACACGUGCCGUCGUGCUCCGCAGCAUCGCCAGUGAGGGCAUCCUAGAUGGACCCAAUGGCGCACGCCGCCAGUACUC
rnacentral:misc_RNA from 1 species